UACAGAGGUCCCAAGCGUUGUUCGGAUUCAUUGGGCGUAAAGGGUGUGUAGGUGGCGCCGUAAGUCGGGUGUGAAAUUUCGGAGCUUAACUCCGAAACUGCAUUCGAUACUGCGGUGCUUGAGGACUGGAGAGGAGACUGGAAUUCAUGGUGUAGCAGUGAAAUGCGCAGAUAUCAGGAGGAACACCGGUGGCGAAGGCGGAUCUCUGGGCCUUACCUGACGCUGAGGCGCGAAAGCUAGGGGAGCAAACAGG
rnacentral:rRNA from 1 species